rnacentral:tRNA from 1 species
GCGUGAGUAGUAUAGUGGUUAGUAUACCACGUUGCCAACGUGGUGACCCGGGUUCGACUCCCGGCUCGCGCA